rnacentral:rRNA from 1 species
GCAAGCGUUGUCCGGAAUUAUUGGGCGUAAAGAGCGCGUAGGCGGUCCGAUAAGUCGGCUGUGAAAGUCAGGGGCUCAACCCUUGAAAGCCGGCCGAUACUGUCGGACUAGAGUCCGGAAGAGGCAAGUGGAAUUCCCGGUGUAGCGGUGAAAUGCGCAGAUAUCGGGAGGAACACCAAUGGCGAAGGCAGCUUGCUGGGACGGUACUGACGCUGAGGCGCGAAAGCGUGGGGAGCAAACAGG